GAGGGUGUAGCUCAGUGAUGGAGCACAUGCUUAGCAUGCACGAGAUCCUGGGUUCCAUCCCCAGUACCUCCA
rnacentral:tRNA from 1 species